rnacentral:lncRNA from 1 species
AAAUAUUAGAUUAAAGGGACAACCAGGAAUGUAAAGGACAGACUCUAAAGACAAGUUUGGAAGUGGAUGUGCCUGACCAAGGCCUUGAACUUUGGCUUUAGAACCAUCCGCCACAGUGACAGAAGGCAAAGAAUCAGAAUAAGACAAAUGAGAUAAAAGAGAUUUAUUACCAGUCAUAUGAUCAGAUGCACCAGAGUCAAGGACCCAAGGACCAAGUGAAGAUGUAGAGACAAAAGCU